rnacentral:misc_RNA from 1 species
GCCUUAGAAAUGUUGCUUCAAGUGGGAAAAGAUUUACUUUUAUUUUAUUGGCGAUGUAGAUUUAAUUGGAAACGGUAAAAUUAAGUGUACAAUCUAAAUCUUUGGAUGCUGAAAUAAAAAUAAAAAUGUGGUUCUCCCAAAAAAAAAAAAAAAAAAAAAAUAACAAUAAUUUGCUGUCUGUAAAUUAUGUUCACCUUCUAGAUUGUCCUUUUUCCAAGAAGUAGGGAUGACUAAACCUCCUCUAAAUGGUACUUGUGGUAGAUCCAAGGCAUGGGGAAGGGGAGUCAGUAAUUCAGACUAGAUGCUACGGAUCUUGUAAUCCUAAUCAACUGAACCUUAAGUUUUUAUAAACAUUUCGGAGACAAAUUCUUCAUAACUAAUAUGUGUUUGUUGUAUAUCUGCAGUACAUUAAAAUGUGCCUACC